UUUUGAGAAAAAAUGUAUGAAAAGGAUUAAGUAUAAACGAAUUUAUUUUAAAAUGAAGAGUACCUAUCCAAGUACUUCGUGUUUUAUUUUGGAUCAAAAGACAUAUUUAUCAAUAAUAUCAAAAUUUUAGCUUACAACCAUAAAAUCGUUUUCCUUCGGCUUAACUUGGUAGCCGGUCGAGUUGCUCAGGCAUGCGAAUCGUACACAAGUCUGGCGCCCAGAUCGCAAAUGUAUAUCAACCGCUGUCAGUUAGCAUUUCCUCCGAACAGAUCGGGUGAAUAUGUACACGAAGUCCAAACUGCUUCCGUGAAAUUGUUCAAGUUGCCAUUCAAGAUUAAUGGGAGAAUUUUCGGAGUUCGUGUAAAACAAUUAUGAUUACAACACACUUAACUAAACCAACUGGAGGGUUAAAUUCCACAGAAAAGUGCAUAUAUCGAGGAACAAUCUGAUUUUCAUAUAAGUUCAAGAUAUCCUAGUAAUGGUAACUUUUGUCAGAAUAUACAAAACGUGUUAACUCAUUAAGCUCCCCCCUCUCGUUGGGAAAUUUGAGAUGUUUUUGAAGCCGGGCAAAUUGGUAGCUUGAUGACAAAUGGGGUGCCAAAAACGUGUUUUAUGUUCAUAACCAAGAUACGCACAGUUAUUUAAAGCAGUCAGGCACAAGAUUCCGACAGGCUCACCAAAAAGGAGGAGGAAGAACGGAGCAGUCCUCGAAAGCGAUGGCAAUCUGCAUAUAGAACGUAACCAAAGGACAAACCUUUUAACCGACCAGCGGGCGGAAUUCGUGUGGGGAAGGGAUCGGUGUUCAAGAAGGGGUAAAGGGGUCUCGAGCCGAGAGUAAUUUACGCUUGCAUGCAAAUUGAAAAACAGUCGAGAGCAGGCACUGGACAUGGGAUUCUGGGGAGGGAUAAGUUCCGGAACGGACCAAACAGAACUGAUUGAGCGCCGGGAUGAUGCAUUUUAAAACAAAUUGGCACAGUUUGUGAAAGGUGGCUGGUCGGUGUUGGUCUGGGUCUGUUGUGUCGGUGGUGUUGUGUUGUUCGUGGCGUGUUUGUCACUCAAUUAGAUGCAACUCAUUUAGACGCUCUUGCAUUUGGCCGCCAUUUCUGUGCACAAAAUGUUAAUCAAAGCCUGAUGGGAUUUUUUAGGCCAACUAAUGAUGCCAUGCUGUGAUGAGGAUGGAGCAGGGAAUGGUCCAUGGGUGGGUUCCGCGCUGUGCACAGACAUAUUGAUGACAGUCGCUCAAUUAAUAUGCAAAAUUUAUGCAUGGGAAAGUUCAAAACAAACAGAAAUACGCACCAGCAACAUAGAGCUGAAAAAGUAUGAGGGGCAAGAAAAAAGGGAGUUGGCUUGCACGAUAAAAAAUCAAUACAAAUUAGCCGACUCAUUUGGCUGUUUUUUUCUACCCAUCGAAUUGAGUUGUUGACACUGGUGCGUAUGUGCCCAUAAUCCGAUGUAAGCCCUUCAAAGGAACCCUAAGCAGAUAUCGUGACACCUAAUAAAUGUGCCAGCGAGGUUUUUACCGUAGAAACACCUGUAAUUGGGGGUGUUUUAAUUUAAUUAUGAAACUUGCAACGCAAAUUUCUGAAACACAAAGUAAGAGCUCGGCAGUCGGCAAUUAAUAAAGCAAUUACGGAGAUCAUGCAACAUUCAACAUGCUAUUAUCGCUUAAGAUUACUUUCUAAUCAUAGAAA